rnacentral:rRNA from 1 species
UACGGGGGGGGGCAAGCGUUGUUCGGAAUUACUGGGCGUAAAGGGCUCGUAGGCGGCCAACUAAGUCAGACGUGAAAUCCCCCAGGCUCAACCUGGGAACUGCGUCUGAUACUGGAUGGCUUGAAUCCGGGAGAGGGAUGCAGAAUUCCAGGUGUAGCGGUGAAAUGCGUAGAUAUCUGGAGGAAUACCGGUGGCGAAGGCGGCAUCCUGGGACCGGCAUUGACGCUGAGGAGCGAAAGCCAGGGGAGCAAACGGG